GUGCUCGCUUUGGCGGCACAUAUAAUAAAAUUGGAACGAUACAGAGAUUAGCAUGGCCCCUGUGCAAGGAUGACACACAAAUUCAUGAAGCGUUCCAUAUUUAA